rnacentral:rRNA from 1 species
GAUGAACGCUAGCUACAGGCUUAACACAUGCAAGUCGAGGGACCGGCGCACGGGUGAGGAACACGUAUCCAACCUGCCCUUUACUCGGGGAUAGCCUUUCGAAAGAAAGAUUAAUACCCGAUAUAAAGGAUGGGGAUGCGUUCCAUUAGGUUGUUGGUGAGGUAACGGCCCACCAAGACUUCGAGUGAUAGGGGUUCUGAGAGGAAGGUCCCCCACAUUGGAACUUAGACACGGUCCCAACUCUUACGGGAGUCAGUAGUUAGGAAUAUUGGUCAAUGGGCGCUAGCCUGAACCAGCCAAGUAGCGUGAAGGAUGAAGGCUUAUGGGUCGUAAACUUCUUUUAUAUAAGAAUAUGUAUUAUAUGAAUAAGGAUCGGCUAACUCCGUGCCAGCAGCCGCGGUAAUAC